GUGUGUCUGUUAGUAUGUGUGUAUCUUUCUGUGUGUGUGUCUGUGUCCUUUUGUAUCAGUGUGUGUGUCUGUGUUUUUGUCUGUGUGUGUAUUCCUGUGGGUGGGAUUUGGAGGCGGGCACCCAGGGGCCCAGACCUUGAGCUAUGUUAGGGGCCCCAAAAUUUCUGAUGGCGGCCCUGAUCCACUCUACAUCAGCGGGUAUUAUGUUGCAG